CCUGGCUCAGGACGAACGCUGGCGGCGUGCCUAAUACAUGCAAGUCGAACGCUUCUUUUUCCACCGGAGCUUGCUCCACCGGAAAAAGAGGAGUGGCGAACGGGUGAGUAACACGUGGGUAACCUGCCCAUCAGAAGGGGAUAACACUUGGAAACAGGUGCUAAUACCGUAUAACAAUCGAAACCGCAUGGUUUUGAUUUGAAAGGCGCUUUCGGGUGUCGCUGAUGGAUGGACCCGCGGUGCAUUAGCUAGUUGGUGAGGUAACGGCUCACCAAGGCCACGAUGCAUAGCCGACCUGAGAGGGUGAUCGGCCACAUUGGGACUGAGACACGGCCCAAACUCCUACGGGAGGCAGCAGUAGGGAAUCUUCGGCAAUGGACGAAAGUCUGACCGAGCAACGCCGCGUGAGUGAAGAAGGUUUUCGGAUCGUAAAACUCUGUUGUUAGAGAAGAACAAGGAUGAGAGUAACCUGUUCAUCCCUUGACGGUAUCUAACCAGAAAGCCACGGCUAACUA
rnacentral:rRNA from 1 species